AUGUCACGAUCCGGGUCUCAUCCAUUGAUAGCUGACAGGGUACAGCAAGAGUUGGGUGAGGAAGAGUGGUACAGGAGGGAGGAAGGAGAAGGUAGGUCAGAUUCGUGGUCCGUCAUCACCAUUGACAAUGGUGAGGGCGUGACAGAAAAUGAUUGUCAUCACCAAGGCCGAGAAGGCAGCAACCCACUGGGAAUGGGUCAAGGCCUAGCUCAAGGAGCUCAAGGUGCUUACAAGGAGAAUGAAGUCAGUCUUCGACGAGUUCAAAGGUGGGUCUGUGGAUCAGAGAAUUUUGAUGUUUGUAUCCUAGCCCGCAAGAUCUUCCAAAGCUCUCGAGAGAAGGAAAAUGAGAAGGCACUCCAGGAGCUCAGAGGAGAGCUUGGUGGACAUGGGUACCUAACAGUACUGGAAGAUGUCUGUAUCUUUGUAUUGGUAAUAUCUUGCAACAAAGAAAUUGUGUAA
rnacentral:rRNA from 1 species